rnacentral:rRNA from 1 species
UAGGGAAUCUUCCGCAAUGGACGAAAGUCUGACGGAGCAACGCCGCGUGAGUGAAGAAGGAUUUCGGUUCGUAAAACUCUGUUGUUAGGGAAGAAAAAAUGUAUAGUAACUAUAUACAAAAGAGACGGUACCUAACCAGAAAGCCACGGCUAACUACGUGCCAGCAGCCGCGGUAAUACGUAGGUGGCAAGCGUUGUCCGGAAUUAUUGGGCGUAAAGCGCGCGCAGGUGGUUUAGAAAGUCUGAUGUGAAAGCCCACGGCUCAACCGUGGAGGGUCAUUGGAAACUAAUAAACUUGAGUGCAGGAGAGCAAAGUGGAAUUCCUAGUGUAGCGGUGAAAUGCGUAGAGAUUAGGAGGAACACCGGUGGCGAAAGCGGCUUUUUGGCCUGCAACUGACACUGAGGCGCGAAAGCGUGGGGAGCAAACAGG